AUGCACGCUGGCGGCGUGCCUAAUCCAUGCAAGUCGAGCGAACGGACGAGAAGCUUGCUUUUCUGAUGUUAGCGGCGGACGGGUGAGUAACACGUGGAUAACCUACCUAUAAUACUGUGAUAACUUCGGGAAACCGGCGCUAAUACCGGAUAAUAUUUUGAACCGCAUGGUUCAAAAGUGAAAGACGGUCUUGCUGUCACUUAUAGAUGGAUCCGCGCUGCAUUAGCUAGUUGGUAAGGUAACGGCUUACCAAGGCAACGAUGCAUAGCCGACCUGAGAGGGUGAUCGGCCACACUGGAACUGAGACACGGUCCAGACUCCUACGGGAGGCAGCAGUAGGGAACCUUCCGCAAUGGGCGAAAGCCUGACGGAGCAACGCCGCGUGAGUGAUGAAGGUCUUCGGAUCGUAAAACUCUGUUAUUAGGGAAGAACAUAUGUGUAAGUAACUGUGCACAUCUUGACGGUACCUAAUCAGAAAGCCACGGCUAACUACGUG
rnacentral:rRNA from 1 species